rnacentral:rRNA from 1 species
AUUGAACGCUGGCGGCAUGCUUUACACAUGCAAGUCGAACGGCAGCGCGGUCUUCGGUCUCUCUGCGAGUGGCGAACUGGUGAGUAAUACAUCGGAACGUGCCCAUCUGUUUUGUAUUGCUCGACGACAUCCGGAUUAAUACCCCAUUCGCCCUUACGGCGAAAGCGUGGGAUCUUCGGACCUCCCGCUCUUGGACGGUCCGAUGGCAGAUUAGCUAGUUGGCGGGGUAAAGGCCUACCAAGGCGACGAUCCGUAGCUGGUCUGAGAGGAUGACCAGCCACACUGGAACUGAGACACGGCCCAGACUCCUACGGGAGGCAGCAGUGGGGAAUAUUGGGCAAUGGGCGAAAGCCUGAUCCAGCAAUGCCGCGUGUGUGAAGAAGGCCUUCGGGUUGUAAAGCACUUUUGGUGGGAAAGAAAAGGAGUAGGCCAAUACCCCGGUUUGAUGACGGUACCCAAAGAAUAAGCACCGGCUAACUACGUG